rnacentral:rRNA from 1 species
CAAUAGCGUAUAUUAAAGUUGUUGCGGUUAAAAAGCUCGUAGUUGGAUUUCUGCCGAGGACGACCGGUCCGCCCUCUGGGUGUGUAUCUGGUUUGGCCUGGGCAUCUUCUUGGAGAACGUAGCUGCACUUGACUGUGUGGUGCGGUGUCCAGGACUUUUACUUUGAGGAAAUUAGAGUGUUUCAAGCAGGCACACGCCUUGAAUACAUUAGCAUGGAAUAAUAAGAUAGGACCUCGGUUCUAUUUUGUUGGUUUCUAGAGCUGAGGUAAUGAUUAAUAGGGAUAGUUGGGGGCAUUCGUAUUUAACUGUCAGAGGUGAAAUUCUUGGAUUUACGCAAGACAAACAGCUGCGAAAGCGUCUGCCAAGGAUGUUUNCAUUAA